GAGAGAGAGAGAGAGAGAGAGGAGGGAGGGAAGGAAAGGAGAGAGGGAGGACAUAGGAGUGACACCAAGUCAUGAAAAUAUCCACAGAGAUACUGGAGACAUACAGGGAGACACACAGAGAGACACAUACAGAAAGCAUUUACUGUUCAUUGUGCUAAGGACUGGAGGAGGCAGAAGAAGACAGAGCCUUUCCCUUCUUAUUGGUGGAUUCUAUUUCUCCCUCAAUGCUGAGUAAGUCCAAAUGACCUUUUUUGGCUACCAUAUUAACUCAUAUUCAGUGGACCUUUGGACACUAAAAGUCCCAAACCAUUUCCAGACAAACAGCUAUCUCCCCAUAGUUUUUACACUUGUGAAGUUUAUUGUUUAUACCCAAGCAUAAUAAUUUGUUUAUCUCCAUUCAGUUUCAUCAUAUUCAAUUAAGCCCAACAUGUUAGCCUCCCAAGAGGUUAUUAAAUCCUGAUCCUGUCCUCAGUGUGUUAGCUCUUCCUUCACACUCUGUGUCAUCUUUAGACUUAAUCAGUAAAUCAUUUAUGCUUUUAUAUGUCAUUGAUAAAAAUGUUAAACAGCACUGAGCCGUAUACAAGGCCCUAGGGAACUCCACUGAUGACUUUCUUCCAAGGUACCAUUGAGUGGUUAGUGACUACUCUUUGUCCCUGACCAUUCAACUAGUGUUGAAUCCAUCUGUGUAUAUAGUACAUCUGAAUGUUCAAUAGUCUAGUCUACAGCUCCCCAUCUUACCUACAAGAAUAGUAUGAAAUCUUUUACCAAACAAUUUCUAAAAAUCUGGGUAAAUUAUAGCUACAGAAUGGCCUUGAUGAACCCAUUUAGUAAUCUUGUCAUAAAUGGGGAUAAAGUUUAUUUGUCAUGAUCCAUUCUUGAUGAGGCAUUGAGGUGGUCCUGUGGAUAGACUGCUGGGUUUGGAGUCAAGCAAGAUGAUCUGAGUGCAAAUCUUGCAUCUUAAAUUUACAGGCUGUAUGACCGUAGGCAAGUAAUUUAGCUUCUUCCAGCCCCAGUUUCCUCAUCUGAAAAUGUGAGUUAAGAAUGGCUCCUACCUCAUCAGAUUGUGGUGAGUAACAGAUGAGAUAACACAUGUAGAGUGCUUUGACCACCUUGGAGAGUUAUAGAAAUGCAAUGUCUGGAGCUGGCUGGCUUCUUUUAAUCAUCAUUUCCUUUCCUAGGUGCCUGUUUACCACAGCUUUAAUAAGACAUUCUAGAAUUUUAUCAGUAAUUGAAGUAAAGAGCACUGGCCAAUAGUCUAUAGAUCACAUUCUGGGUUAUUUUUUUUAAUUGGCACCACCUUUGCCCUUCUCUGAUUUAGUAGGACUUUUCCUAUUCUCCAUGAUUUUUUCAAAGAUCACUGUCAGUGACUACUCCAUCAUAUGUGACAGUGCUUUCAGUACCCAGGGAUACUGCUCCUCUAAGAGAGGUGACAGAUUCAGCUAGAAUAGCUAGGUGUCUUUUACUAUCUUCCUACUUCUCGAUGGAAGCAAUCCCCUAUUAUUCCUUUGUGUUGUCUCCUUUUCUGCUCCAGGUUCAUUCUCACUGGCAGAGAAAACACAAAGAAAAUAACAAUUGUACAACUCUGCCUUCAACUUCAUCAGUUAUUAUCAUACAAGUAAGUCACUCUAAAUGGGGUUCUUAUUUAUUCUUUGAUCUUCCUCUUUUCCCCAUUAUAGCUCCUUUAAAAAUUGAUCUGUAAUCCUUAUCUUUCUUUACUUAACAGUCUUGCUCCAUUCUCAGCUUUAGCACCUCAAAGCAUUUUCUAAAAGAUCAUGCCACAUUUCUUUCAUUAAUUUUCUAUUAUCUACACUUGCUUUUGUCCUCUGUGCACGUCUAACAAAAAUCUAGUUUGGUUAAUGAGUUCCCUGUGUAUCCACAUUGGUCUCUUUCAACAACUACCAUUUUACCUCCUCACUGGAAUAUUUUCUCCUUGUGUCUUCAAAUCUUCACUCUAAGGAGUUUCCUAUUUCUUCUACAUAACCAUCCCAGAAUUCUGGGACCUGGAACCGUUCUACAUAUUUUUUAGUCCUUGAAGUCUUCUCUCCCAAUAUCUAGGGCACACAAUAUACUAUGCCUGGUUUUCCUUUUUUUCUAUAUCACAAACUCUAAGAUGGAGUAAUCAUUUGCAAUUAUUUUCACCCCAUAAAUCAUUUUAGCAACAAUAACAAUAAACAACAAUGACAUAAAAUACCAUCAUUUAUGAAGAGCUCAUUAUGAGCAAUACACUGAGCUAAGCACAUAGGAUAUGGAGACAUAGAAAAGGUAUUUGCUAAGUGUGUUUUGACCAUUAUCCAGUUUGACCCUUACAAAAUUGUCCCAUGUGGUAGGCACUAUUGGCAUUAUUAUCCCUGUUUCAUAGAUGAGAAUACUCAGAGAGUCCACUGGGCCCUUGGUAAAGUCUCCCCACAUCCCUCAAACUAGAAAGCCCCAAUGAGAGCCAUUUCUGCACUCUUGAGUUUUGGAAGGAUGUUGUGCAUCCAGGUUCACACGGGGGGCUUUGUGUAGGGGACAGACAUUGGCCUGAAUGGUCUGUAGUGUUCUGUUGUUGACUCACUGUGUGACAUUAGGCAUAACUUUGUGUCUCAUUUCCUGGGUCUAUAAAAUGAGAGGUUGGAUUCAAUGAUGCCUAAGGUCCCUUCUAGCUUUAACAUUCUAGUACCCUGAGGUGCCUUCAGAAGACUAUGAGCAAGCCCAGUACUGCCCAAUAAUGGAUACAUUUAAAAGGACAAAUUAUAGUGCCUGGUACAUAAUAGGAUGCUUACAAAAGGGCAAUGAGUUUAGGGAGAAAGGAUGGAGAAAAUGGGAAUGAGAAGGCUUGGGAAUCAUAAAGUUUGGGUUGAAUAUGCACUAAAUAAGAUUAGACAGAAGCCGGUUUCCUUUGUAAAUUAAUAGGCGUUCAUUCUCGUUAGACUCACUUUGGAAAACCAAUCCGUUAUUAUUUCCCUUAAUGGAGAGCAGAGUGAUGUCUUUACCUUCCUGUCCAUUGAGCCUCCUGGAGGCUUACCUCCUUUUGGUUUCUCUCUUUGAUCUCUUCUGCUGGCACUCUGUCUGUGUUCAGUAGAGGUUACUAGACCAUAGCACCUGCCUCCCUCCCCACCCCCAGCCCAAAAAGAAGUGCCUCGAGAAGAUCAGUGUUGGGAGAGGCCGUUCUGCUGGGUGGUCCCAGCCUCCCAACUCCUCUCCUCUAAAUCUCCCCAGACGUGUAACUGAAAAGAAAGGUCUCUUUGCAGCUGGGAACAUGGGGGGAACCUUUUUCUUGCUUUUGCUUUCCCUGAUUCCUGCUCAUCUGUCCAGCGCCCGCCUGGAGCAGGAGGUCUCUGUCAUGGGCAUUCAGGGAGGCUCUGCCAUCCUCACCCGUCAACUCUUUGAUUCUAUUUCCACUGUGGUGCCCUGGUACCGGCUCCAGGAUGGAAGGCCCCCAGGGCGCUUUCUCUACUUUUCCUUGCACCUAGGCACAGCCAAGUUUGAUAGGGGUUUUGAUGAUAAUAAAUUCCAGGCCCAUAAGGAUGCAUUUAAUGAUGGGAAUAGUGCCUUGCUAAACAAGAAGCUGGCUGUGAGUGACACUGGCAUGUAUUACUGUGCUGUCUGGGACAACCACAGUGCCCCAGGAGGUAUCUCCUCUCCACACAAAAUGCCCUGCUGUCUUGAGCAGCUUGGAGCAGCUGGUACUCAACACAGUAGGGCAAGUUUCUUCUUCAAUCCUACCCUGCCCUUGCUCACUUCAACGUGUGCAGGGACUUAGCUA